AUGAAGAAGCUCCUCAGAUCAAGGAUGAGAACACUCCAGAGGUUCCCAAGUUCAAAGGGUAGGGACCAGAUGGAGGUCUCCAGUUUGGGCUCUCUCUCUUUCUGCCUGAUGUUUGGCUGUGGGUCUCUGCAUCCGCUCCUUGGGGGCUUCCAACACCAGAAAGAAAAGGAGACUGUGGAAUGUUGGCGGGUUUAUAAAAGUCUUCUGCCUGCAUGCCAGCAGAGGGCACCAGAUCUCAUUCAAGGUGUUUGUGAGCCACCAUGUGGUUGCCGGGAAUUGAACUGAGGGCCUCUGGAAAAGCAAUCAGUGCUCUUAACCGCUGAGCCAUCUCCAGUCCUGGAUUUUUUAAGAAAGGAAGAAAGAAAGAGAAAGAACAGUCAAAGAUGUAAGGGAAAAUACCAACUUGCCUACAAAGGAAUAUACAUCAAAAUAACAUCAGAUUCCUCAUCUACAAUUCUAUAGGAAAGCAUGGAACAGUGUAUGCAGGCAAAAAAUCUGCCAACUAAAGAUUGCUGUAUCCAAAAAAGCAAUCUUCAAAAACCCACAGUAAAUGAAGGAAGUUUCAAGAUAAGAUAAACUGAAGCAGUUCCUAACCACCUAGCCAUCAUGCUGCAGAAGAUACUUAAAGGAAUCCUAUUCAUGGAGGAACAAGAAAGGGCAUCGAUCAGGAAAGAAAACAUUUCAUAAGAGGAAUGCAUGAACAAAGGAGAUCCAGGAAGGAAUCUAUUGUUCCAACACAGUAAACAUCCACAACUAAGGAGAUGAACAAUGAAAGACCCAACCAACCAGAAAGCACAUGCAACAAAUUAACAGGGGUUAAUAAACAUCACUCAACAAUAACCUUAAAUAUAAAU
rnacentral:lncRNA from 1 species